AUACGGACGGUCCAGGCGUUAUCCGGAUUUAUUGGGUUUAAAGGGAGCGUAGGCUGUUUUUUAAGCGUGUUGUGAAAUGUAGAUGCUCAACAUCUGAAUUGCGGCGCGAACUGGUUUUCUUGAGUGCAUACGAGGUAGGCGGAAUUUGUGGUGUAGCGGUGAAAUGCUUAGAUAUCACGAAGAACUCCGAUUGCGAAGGCAGCCUACCAGGAUGUAACUGACGCUAAAGCUCGAAAGUGCGGGUGUCGAACAGGAUUAGAUACCCUGGUAGUCCGCACGGUAAACGAUGGAUGCCCGCUGUUGGCGAUAUACAGUCAGCGGCCAAGCGAAAGCGUUAAGCAUCCCACCUGGGGAGUACGCCGGCAACGGUGAA
rnacentral:rRNA from 1 species